rnacentral:rRNA from 1 species
UACGUAGGGGGCUAGCGUUAUCCGGAAUUACUGGGCGUAAAGGGUGCGUAGGUGGUUUCUUAAGUCAGAGGUGAAAGGCUACGGCUCAACCGUGGUAAGCCUUUGAAACUGGGAAACUUGAGUGCAGGAGAGGAGAGUGGAAUUCCUAGUGUAGCGGUGAAAUGCGUAGAUAUUAGGAGGAACACCAGUUGCGAAGGCGGCUCUCUGGACUGUAACUGACACUGAGGCACGAAAGCGUGGGUAGCAAACAGG